rnacentral:rRNA from 1 species
CAGUAGCCGCGGUAAAACGUAGGUGGCAAGCGUUGUCCGGAAUUAUUGGGCGUAAAGGGCUCGCAGGCGGUUUCUUAAGUCUGAUGUGAAAGCCCCCGGCUCAACCGGGGAGGGUCAUUGGGAACUGGGAAACUUGAGUGCAGAAGAGGAGAGUGGAAUUCCACGUGUAGCGGUGAAAUGCGUAGAGAUGUGGAGGAACACCAGUGGCGAAGGCGGCUCUCUGGUCUGUAACUGACGCUGAGGAGCGAAAGCGUGGGGAGCGAACAGGAUUAGAUACCCCAGUAGUCCCUGUCUCUUAUAC